rfam:Salmo salar isolate Sally breed double haploid chromosome ssa16, whole genome shotgun sequence.
GGCCCUGUGGCUCAGUUGGUAGAGCAUGGUAUUUGCAACGCCAGCAUGGUGUGUGCAAAGCCAGGGUUGUGGGUUCGAUUCCCACGGGGGGCCA